rnacentral:rRNA from 1 species
CGUGUAGGCGGGUCUCCAAGUCGAAUGUGAAAACCGGUGGCUUAACUGCCGGCCUGCGUUGGAAACUGGAGACCUUGAGUACGGGAGAGGAAAGCGGAAUUCCUGGUGUAGCGGUGAAAUGCGUAGAUAUCAGGAGGAACACCGGUGGCGAAGGCGGCUUUCUGGCCCGAUACUGACGCUGAGGCGCGAAGGCUAGGGGAGCAAACA